rnacentral:rRNA from 1 species
CCUACGGGGGGCUGCAGUGGGGAAUAUUGGACAAUGGGGGGAACCCUGAUCCAGCCAUGCCGCGUGUGUGAAGAAGGCCCUCGGGUUGUAAAGCACUUUCAGUGAGGAAGAACGCCUGGUGGUUAAUACCCAUCAGGAAAGACAUCACACACAGAAGAAGCACCGGCUAACUCCGUGCCAGCAGCCGCGGUAAUACGGAGGGUGCGAGCGUUAAUCGGAAUUACUGGGCGUAAAGCGCGCGUAGGUGGCUUGAUAAGCCGGUUGUGAAAGCCCCGGGCUCAACCUGGGAACGGCAUCCGGAACUGUCAAGCUAGAGUGCAGGAGAGGAAGGUAGAAUUCCCGGUGUAGCGGUGAAAUGCGUAGAGAUCGGGAGGAAUACCAGUGGCGAAGGCGGCCUUCUGGACUGACACUGACACUGAGGUGCGAAAGCGUGGGUAGCAAACAGGAUUAGAUACCCUGGUAGUC